GUCUUGUCUCCUUAAUGGUGCGCGCGCCCCGAGGAGGGGAGCAAGCCGGCUAUAGGAAGCCGGCCAUGCCUCAGGCCGGCUGGGGGAGGCCAGGCCGCCUUCAGGCGUCUCUCUGACUGAAGGGGCUCGCCGCCUAUGGGCCGUACUGGCAGCCCGUCGUGGAGGGCGUCAUGAUCAGCAUGGCAACAGUGCCACGCCGGACGGGUGAUGGCCGUCCCGUAUGGCGUACUGUAGCCAUGCGUGCUCCGAGAUUCGGGGGUGGCAUGGUCCACUGUUGCCACGCCCCGUCCCAUCAUCGUUCUGGGGGGUGCAGACUUUUAGGGCACGGCCCCUGGCCGCCUGCCAGGGGCCGGCCUCUUGGAGUCGGUCUUCUUGGGCCGGCUUCUUGGAGUCGGUCUUUCCGUGGCCGGCUUCUUGGAGUCGGCCCUAUCGUGGCAUCCUCCAAGAGAGUUUAGGGCCGGGCCGCCUUCCGGUAGCCGGCCUGUGAGACAGCCGGCCGGAGGAAGGCGGCCCUGCGUCUCGGGUGCUUCAAGGCUCGGUCGACCCGUUGUUUUUUCUAAGGGCCAAAGGGAGCCGGUUAGGCUACCCGUGGUCAUUUACUCCGACACUGCUCACCUUCGCCAGAGCGAGAUGGCAAGUUAAAACUUCUUAUAUCAGAACCAUGUUUCAAGAAAACGUCGACCAACUCGUCAAGAAGCAUAUUUCUCAAUCUUUCAGGAGGAACAACAUAGUUUGGAUUACCCAGGGCACGACGGAACCCAUGCUCGAUAUCAUCGUACAUGCUAGCGCAUUAACGUUCAAAGAAACCCAUCUCAUCCUUGAUAGAACAAUGCAUGAUCAUAGUCACAAAUAGUUGUCUAAGUCGAUGCCCAAACCCCCAAACAACCGCUUCAUCAAACGCUAUGUACCACUCGUUAUCGACUCCCAACAAACCACGCGCGGCACAAGCCUCUUUAAAUGUGUGAUAAAGACGACUAGCAUAUGUUCGAAGAUCUUCGAAAGACCUAGCCCCUUUAACAAUCAUCAAAAGCAUGUGCAAGUAAUACAACUCACCACUCAAAGGAUGUACAUAAUACACGCGGUCAAUCUUUUCACCCCCACCCCUUGGAUGCCAUGACCUACUUUUAGCAUCCCAGCUCCAAGCAGUUGGAAAAUCACAAUAAGUUAAUGAAUGGGCAUCUUCGAACGUCUCAUUCGCAACAAACCAUUUAGUAAGCAUAGUCUUUCGCAAGAAGUCGGAAUCAACAAUUUUCGUGAGGUCAGCACCAGCACGAUAGUAAACAGUAUUCAUGCCAGGCAUAUGAAUGGUCAGCCUUUGAACCGACGGCAUUUUAAAGUGUAUUUAAAACCCACAUAUGCGCCACAAUGCAUCGUACUCACAUAUAUACCAACAUAUCAGAUACUCCUGAACCUCAUCUACUGUACGACAACCAGAUUUAGUCAAUUUUUUAGCCUUUCUAACAUGACCUUUGAGUAGUCAGCACCUUUGGUGACAUACCUAAAUAGAUAUUUCAUAACCUGUCUCUUGUUACACCACUCUACAUUUAUAUGUCCCUGAAAUUUCUUGAGCAUCGCCAUAUUAUAAGGAAUAACAUGCCUAUUGUCAAGGUAAUGACCAUUUUUAUAGACCCUUCGACCGUCGUCACGACGUCGAUAUAAGGCAAACCCAUUAUCAUCAUUGACAGUGGUAUCUCUAAAAUAUUUUGGGAAAUAUUUAGAACAAACACCCUUUUUCAUGCAGACACAUUUAUCGUUCAUUUCACCACACGGACCGUGCAUCAUAAACUCAGAAACUAAAGCAUAUCCUAGAGGAUCAAGCAAUGCAUCAGGUAUUUCAGCAGAUAUUAAUGAAUUAAUAUUUUCAACACCAAUCUCACUGUUGCCCCCUCUCCGCCAGACAAGUAUAUGCGCGUGUGGCAGCCCACGCUUCUGGAACUCAACAGUAUACAGGACUGGAAAGGAAAUAAAAAGAUAAAUCAGCCAGACCAGCAAGCAAAAUAAGUAGAAGGCCGGUAAGAAACACCGACCACACACAAAGCACAGCAGCACAUAAUACCAACUUUAAUGGGGCCAAAAGCCCGGCCUGACUUGAUCUCGUCCAAAUACUCGGCAAGCUUCAUGUGAUAGACCCUAACAACAACGUCUGUCCUAUCAGAAGACGCCUGCCCUGGCUCCAAUGCAGCGGUGAUCUCAGGCCACUUGGGAUUACAAGUGAAAGUGGUAAAUACAUCUGGUGCACCAUGCACCCGACAAACGGCAAGGCCAUCAUGGAAAUUCUCAUUAAAAUAACGACGACCACCCAUGUGACUAGAGGGCACAAUGGUCCUCUUUCCAACAGCGUCGCCAUCCACACACCCAUCACCUACUGCAUCGGUAAUACCCUGUAUGUGCUCUGAUCUAAACAUGUCCUGAUUUCUUAUGAUAUACCGCGGUCUACUCUCAUUGAUGCAUGCGCGCGCAUCAACAACGGACUAGGAGGAGAGGAGACCAUAGCAUAUAUAUGGAUUGGGCUGAUCACCUUUGUAAUGGCACAUAAAAAGAUAGUAAUCUUGCAUGGUCAUCCUAUUCCGACUAUUCGUGUCCGAGUCACCACCCCCAGAAGGAUAUGAAGAAGACGCCUCAACAGACGGACUUCCAGGUGCAGGAUCAGGAUCUACGGUCCCAUCAUCCUCACCUUCUUCAGGAACAAUCAGGUGAGGAACAUCAAUCUGGAACCCCCUUUCACCAUAAGGAAAAAGCAACGGAUAUUGCAGAGGAAUGAACGCAGUGUUCAGAGAAGGUAUCUGCUGCAAACCAUCAGAAUGACUGCGGACAACAAUAUCUCGAGAAGACGCCUCUAACGCGAACCCACGACCGACAACCAAAGCAGCAAGCCCAGUAGUUGUAGGCAAGCUAAAUUGUUGACUAUCACCUUCCGAAGGCCCUAUAAUACGAAUCGAGAUAUCCUCGAUAGGUUCAUCACCAAGAUCCUCUAUCAUCUUACUCGCCUCCCUAAAGGUAUAUACCAAUGGGUUAGACUCAUUAAGCAUAUCUCUAAGGCCAACCACAAUACUCUCGUCGACCCCCUCCCCCCCAGUAGGCUUAUCGUCCGGAUUUAAAGCAUUCAUCCUAUGUCUAAUCUCAUUAGCGGGGUCAUGUAUGUAUAACUCAGCAAACUUAGGAGCAUCAUCACCGCUGGGCACCAGCGAACCAAUAUGAUGAGACACUUGACCACUGAUCUUGAAGAUCUUAGGCCCACGACUGCCACCAAAAGAGCGUUCAACAGUAGCACCCAUCGAAGUAAAAGCGAACAUACAAUUGUACUCACGUAUAGCCCGGAUGAAUUUUUUAGCAUGAGAAGUACCAUCGAAUCGAAGGAGCUCCCGGACAUACGCCGGGGGAUCCUUAAAGGGAGGAAUAUAGACCUUAGCGCCUUUACAACAGCGAUUGUGAACCAUCUUACGUUGUGUCCAGGACGACCUGGACUUAGAACACUCAGCAAACCAGAAGGAGGCACCACAAUACCGGCAUAAGAAAUCCGUAGGGCCACAGUAUGACCUAUCUGCAUAGCAAGCUAACAACCACCAAAGCACAAGACUAUCAGGCACAAACCAAGCGUAAUGGAAAAACAACAAUGACACGACCAGGGAAACAAUGCUUUUUCAGUAGGUACCUUUAAGAGACUCAGCAAACCCAACCAAGAAACCUUGCCAAUCCUUCGGCAAAGGCCCUUUGACCACAACAUCUAACAAGACACGUACGCCCAAAUAAGAGACUACAUGGAAACAACAAAAAGCAAGAAGAAAUCAAGGAAUUCCAUGCACCUUCAUGUCCAGGACGACGCAGUCUAAUCGACACUUUACGCUUUUUCUGUUUGUUGUGAUCCACCCCGGUAACCUCCGAGCUCACAUAAACCGAGAAACCAUGCCAAUCCUUCGGCAAGGUGCCGUCGGCGACACGUUCUAACAGAACAUGCAUAAACUGGUAAGGCACCACACACCCAAACGACAACAACUAACAACAAACUAAGAACUCGCACGCACCUUCAUAGUGAGCACGCCGAAACUCAAUGCACCCUUUCCGUUUUAUGCGAUUUGCAGCCGCCACGGCCGAGCUCAGAAAAGGAAACCAACCAUCACCUACCACGUCAUAAACAACAUGGAAAUGAAGUAAUUGGUAGAGCACCCUAAGAUACAAAAGAAGGAAGAAAAACUACGGACAGAGACUUACAUGUACGCCUGCGAGGAGAAAACCCAAUAGGCUGACGUGGCACGUAACGCCUAGCAAUCCCAGCACCUGGCACCCGCCGAGCAGGGAAAGCAGCCCCAAGUCCAACAGCACGGCCGAUGCCAGUCAUUGGCCGAGCAGCACCCCCACGCCCGGCAACAGGCUGGUCUACAGCGGCAGGCACCCGCCGAGCAGCACACCCACGCCCGGCGACAGGCUGGUCUACAACGGCAGGCACCCGCUGAGCAGUACCCCCACGACCGGCGACAGGCUGGACCCCAACGUCAGGCACCAGCUGGGCAGCACCCCGGCGCCCGGCAACAUGCUGGGCUCCAGCGGCAGGCACCCACCGAGCAGGACCCCGACGCCUGGCGACAGGCUGGGCUCCAGCAACAGGCACCCGACGAGUAGCAUCCGCACGGCCAGCAACACAAUCAGAAAUAGGGGCACACACAGUAUUAGAACCUCCACGGCCGCUGGCACGUCCAUGACCAGCAGCAACCCGCCCACGGCCACGGCCACGACCACCUACCAACACAGCGACAGCUUCAAACGCGCCUUCACCACGAGCCGUAACCGGGGCACGUGCCAUGUCAAUGACCAGACAAUGUCAUACCAAAACGCUGGGCAAAUAAGAAGCAAGACACAUAACAUUAGAAGAAGGACCGAUAUAACCCUACAUAGCAUAACAUCAUGCAUUCAAGUGCAUAAACCAUCUUACAUUAUACCCAUGUACCAGUAACAUGGUCAGGCAAAGGAUAAGAUACACAUUGAAUAAAAGAACAAUGAAUAUCCACGAGUUAUUACAACCAGCCACUAAUCAUAGUAUACAUGCACAGCAACCUGAAUGCAUAUCAACUCGACUCAGGAGAAGACGACCAUUAGAUAACCACCCCGAAGAGAAGACACCCUAUCCAGAAAGCACAUCUAAAAGCUAUAGGCGACGAAGAUCAACCUAGCAUAUAGCAUCUGCCGCUGUAAAGCAGAUAUUUAAAUACAGCCAGAUGAAGAUGUUUUAUAUUUUCUGAGUUUCUGAUUCAGGAUUGAUAACCAAAACCAACCAAUAUUGUAACAUUUUUUAAAAAAGAUGGUGCAUAUCUCCAUCAUCGUAACGGAAUAUAAGAACUCUUAUCCGUGUGCAAUAACCUAGACAUGACAUCUCCAGAGCACCGAUUCAACUUCACUGAAUAGGUAAAUCAAACACAAUUAGAUCCUGAUGCUCAUCCUUGCUUUAACAAAAAUCAAACUCGAUUUUUAAGACACCUAAUAAAACCAAAGUCAAGCCUAUAUUCCUUUUCUGCAUCUUGAUGUUCAUCCGUGCCUGAACUAAAGAAACCAUGGACGAUAAAAUCUGCACAAGAUCGACUAACCUACAAGAGCCACACCCUCUGCACACUUUCUCUGUGAUAUGCUAUAAGAGCUACACUCUCUGAACACUUUCUUCAUGAACCCAACAACCUCAAAAGACAUAGAGGAGGCGAGGCGAGAGUAAAGAAUCACCUCCAAGGAGACUAGUGAAGCAACCUCGAGCAUCAGCAAUGGCACGACCUACCAGCCUAGCAGCCAAGAGCAGAAACAGACCCCGACCAGGACGGACCAGCAAGCAAACCCUAAACAGAUCCCUGAAAAACAACACAAUCCUGGAUGAGCACAUGCACAUCAGAAACGGCAAAAAAAUGCUCUGCUGUACUCGUAUUCAGAAAUAUUAAGUAGCCGUCUUUGAAAGUUCAUAGUAACAAAAAUCCUCAUGGGAAUUAAGUAAAUGAAAUUUAUCUAUGAACUAUAAGGUACCAGGUAGUCAUACCAUUGUAUAACACCAAUUUAUGAACCCUCUAAUAUCAUGAAACACUAUGGACAAAAGCUAUGAGAAAAUUACUGCUUUGCAGAAACAGCCAGCAACUUGUUUUUACCGCCACGCCUAAAUGGCUGAACCAAAUUGAGUGAAUGACCACUCAAAACGAUCGUGGGAACAGCACCUACAAAACAUUCCACAUGCUCCUCCUCUCAUUUUGCCAUCUAGGAACUCAAAAUUGCUGAUUUCCGAAUCUGAAUACCUAAGAACAGCAGCAACAAUGAUCCCCCCCUAGUUCCCUCACCUAGGGCUCCUAAUCCUAGCCCUAUUCUCCAAGAAUCAUCACUUACAGAGGGUAAGAGCUCAUAGAUGAUGGGGAAUCUCACCUUUAUGAUCAAAUCACAAAUAUUUGGUGAAGGGGAAAGUUGGGGAAGCUUUCUUGUUCUCCUCUUCUUGUGCCCUCUUCUUCUUCCUCCAGAUCAGGUCCAGGCUGCCUUUGAAGGUGGGGGAGGGCGUGGUGCAGCAACGAGGGACAUGGGGAGGAGUGGGGAGGGAAGGGAGGAGGGAGUAGGCUGGUUGGAGAGGGGUGGAAGGUGGCGUGGAGGAGGGGACGCGACGGCGAGCGGAGGCGGCGGCGGCGGCGCGCCAAGGGGGCGUGGAGGAGGAUAGGAUGCGCCGGCGAGCGGCGGCGGCGGCGCGGCAGGUACUAUGCGAGCGUGGGAUCAGGGUUUGAGAGAGGGAGAGGAGGAGAUACGACGCAAGAGUGAGGAAGGGAGCGACGCUAGGCUCUCAGCCCUGUUGUUAUUCGAUAUUUUCCUAAUCACGUGAAAUGUCUAAAAUACCCUCGACGGCCACCUAAUUUUACAGGCGGUGGCACGAUCUGGAGGGCGUCGACGAUUCGCACAGACCAUGCGCGCCGGCAAAGCCGCUGACCAGGGCGGCCCACCAGCGAGUUCCCCACACGUCAGUGAGGCAGCAACGUAAUUCCGGAGUAAGCGAAACAACAAGCGAAAUAGAGGAAAAGAUAAAUGUUCAUUGUAGCAGUGUUUCGGGCUUGAUCCAACGGCCGAGGUCUUCCAGAAGCGAGAUCGUACGGCCCAGGACCCAUCAAGAAACAAAUCCGACGGCCAGGAACCCGAGUAGUGAGGAGGAUGGGUGGCUCCUGCUAUGCUUGUUUCUGGAUGUGGUUGCCAUUUCUCCCUUCACUUUCGCUAACAACCAGCACUCUGGGGAUGUCUCGUAGCAAAUCCAAUCAAUGAGAACAACUAUUCUACUACUUGUCAGUUGCCUCUUGCAAUUAUUAUAUGGAUAUGGCAAACACAUUAUAUCUUUAUCUGCCGGAUUGUACUACACAUAUUACAAAAUCCGCAGCACAUGUUGCAUAUAAGAUGUUCUUCAAAAUGUCUUUUACAUAACAAGCUUGACAUACUCGCCUUGGUCAUCCAGAUAUUGUGUUGAAACCGAAACUAUUAGCAAUCCUAUUGAUUACUACUAAAUGAUGCUAAAUUCUAACAAUAUUCGGAUUUUAUGUGUACUACAUGUGACACAGGAAGCUGAUUUUUAAGACUCGCGCAUCUUCGAGAUCUAUGUUGAACUGUUCAGACUCCUUGAAUGCAUCAAGUCGAGGUAAAUGACUCUUCCCAACCAUUGACUAAACUAUUCCCAUUGGCGUUUCCUAAUAAGAAUCGAUACAUCGCAGCAUCAAUCCACGUCGAGCGUUAUUGGGCUGGGCCAUUAUGGGUAACAGCGGGUGUGAAUUUUUGGGCCCUGUUUUUGUACUAUGUUGGUUUCUAUCAGUGUUUUGGGGGUUUACCGAUUUUCUUUUAUCUUCGCCAUUUUUUAGGUUUUCUCUUUUUCUUUGUUUUUCACCGGUUUUCUUUGUCUCUUUCAUUGUUUUUGUUAGUUUUUUAUUCUCUUUUUUACUUUGUUUUCCUUAGUUUCUUUUUUGGUUUUACUUUUUUUUCUUUCUUUCCUCGGUUUCCUUCUUUUUUCUUUGUUUCUUCUUGGGUUUCACUGUUUCCGUUCUUUUGCAUUUGGUUUGUUUGGUUUUCAUUUUUUUUUGUUUUCUUUGUUUUCUCUUUUAUGUUUUAUUGUUUUUAUGUUUUAUUUGUUUCAUUGUUAAUUUUUAUUGGUUUAUUUUUUGUUCAACACAUGUAAAAAAAAUUCUGGUACACAUUACAUAUUUAUUGUAUAUAUAAGGAACAUAUAUUGUACACAUGGUUAACGUUUUCAAAUAUAUGAUGAACUUUUAAAAAACAUUUCUAUUUUUUCCAUAUGGAUUUUACAUUUUGUAAGACACAUUUGAUAAUUUUCAAAUACAUGAUUAACUUUUUUUGAAUACCUUGUCAAAAAAAUUCAAGUACAUAGUGUAUAUUUUCCUAAUUGUAACACAUAUUUUUUUGACACAGUGGACAUUUUCCUAUACAUCUGGAACAUUUUAUAUACAUGUGUAACAAUUUUUAAAUACCUAAUAAAGUUUUUGAAAAUAUAUUUUUUGAUGUCUACUUUUAUUUAAUGUAUGUUGUACCUUUUUAUAGGCAUGAGGAACAUUUUAAUAUAUAUUUAACAUUUUUACAUGCAUCAACAAUAUUUUUCAUACAAAUUGUUUUUACAUGACAAACAUUUUUUCUAUACACAUUUAACAUUUACCAAAUACUUGAUUAACAUUUUUAAAUGCGUGAUCAACUUUUUUCAUACACAUUGUUUAUUUUUUGUAUACAUUUUAUGUAUAAAUAGGAAACAAUUUUUCAAUACACAUUUAAUAUUAUUAAAAUGCUUGAUUAACAUUUUUUCAAAUGUUUUAUGUAAAGCUUUUUUGUCAUAUAUUUUUUUGAAUAUUUGGAAACAUAAACAAAAGUACAAAAACAAAAAGUGAAAAACAAGGGGAAACAAGCAUGUGACAUGUGGCGCCCUUCACACUGGGCGACCAAUUUAGGAAGGCGCAUGAGACGAGCGCAUGGUAAGUCUGGCUAUAAGCAAGACAUAAGCCUGCCCUCGGUACAAGCGAGGCAUAGUCCAUGCGCGACCCGAGUUCCUUCUUUGCUCAUCCUCUGCCUUAUCCACUAAAGAUAUAUUUUUCUGGACGCCUGCAAAGGCCCCCCCCCCUCCCACCCCCACCCCGGAACCCAACCACUUUUCCAGUAACAACCCAACCACUAUUGUCGACUGGCCACAUAGCACUAAAUGGGUCAGGGGUGUCGGACGCAUGUGUGGCAGUUUCUAGAUGCCCGCAAAGCCCCCGCCCCUCGGUUUGUAGGAAAAGCAACGUCCGGACCGGGCAGCGAACUGAUAUAAGACCACGUUGGAUGGCAAAACACAUCUAGACCACUUGUACAGACAUAUGAGGUCGGUUUGAGGGGUCGUGUUGAAGACGCCCUAACCCUUAAUUGGUGAUUUCGGCUUUCCUAGCGUUAGGGCUAUACGUCGCACUCGCCCGUACCAAUUCCUAAUAGAAUCGCUUACGGGCGCCGCCUAGCAAGCCAGCCGGUUGGCGUGGUUGCUUCAUUGCCUCUCAUAUCGCACGUAGGUUCAUUCUAUGCUUCAUUUUUUGUUUCUUAUUUGUUUUUUUUGUGAAAUCUUUUAUUUGUUUUUGUGUAUUUUCACCAGUUUUCUUUUUCUUCAUUUACUUUAUUUUCCUAUUGGGUUUUUUCUAUCUUCUUUAUACACUGUUUUUGUUUGUUCUUUCUUGUUGUUUUUUUCGUUCUAUUUUUUUUUCUUUUGUUUCUUUGUCGGUUAUUAUCAGCUUUCUUUCUUUCAACACAUAUUUACAUUUUCCUCGGUACACAAUGUACAUUUUAAGAGCACACAUGAUAUUAUCGUCUGAUACACGUAUAUUUUUCAAAAGGAUGAUGUGCAUUUUCUGAAAAUGCAUGUUUUGAACACUUCUUUGAAUACAUGAUCACAUUUGUGAGGACCAAAAACUCUAGAAAUGCAGGUCGUCGAAUCUUGAUAUUUUCACCAUGGUGUCGAUGAAGGAUUUCAUCCCCACAAAGAAUCAAACCCCAAAAAAAAAACUUAACACACUAACAUAAAUUCAUUAGAUCCGAAUAAUCGAAUUUGUGAGGACCAAAAACUCUCUAACCUCAUGACACCACUAAAAGAAUGAGUACUUUUAUUUCACAAACUAUGAAGAUCGCGAGGAAGAUCACAAACCCUAAAAAGUUGGAGUAGCUUUUCUGCAUUCUUGUGAGGCCACGUGAACGGGCCUAGUUCAAUAAUUUAGUGUUGAGACUGUGUCAGCAUCCCUGGGCCGAAGAGCGUGAGAGUGCAAAGAACGCAAAAAAUGAACCAGAUUCUAGCCCAUUUCAAGCUUGCCACUGCUCAAUUAUUCUCUUUUUAUAGGUAGAAAUAUCAAAUCCUUGUGCGAGUAAUAUCCGUGAGUGACUGAAAUCCAGUCAUGCCAGUACCUGACUGUUGCUACUAAACUAUAUCAUUCCCCGACGAAAACCGUUCCAUGCUCAUGGUCAUUUCAAUUCUAUCUAUAUCUAUACCAAUAUUAAAAGACCCAAUGGGGCAGAUUCAACAAAUCUCAACCAUCAAUCUAGGUCAAUCUAACGACCUUGCUUCAAUGCCAGAGCACUCAACACAUUUAGCGUGCAGUUAAUGUGAUACCAAAUACAAGUUACCACGCUAAUCACAUAAUUAACACACAAAUAAUAUCUACCUAAUAUUCACAUGCAGUUAAUAUAUGGCCUAAUACAAACGUGCUUUGCACGUACAAAUUUACUAGUUAGGUUAAACACAAGAGAUAUUUCUUUUGAAGGCAGGUUUAACAAGUUACAGCUCUGAAGCCAGGCCACAGCAAUAGUCUGAAAGCACUGGGCGACGGAGCUAGCUAACAAGCAACAGAGUCAAAGGCCAACCGCCAGUAGUACGCUACGAUGGAAACGAUGCUCCUCGCCGACGGAGCAGGGCGCCAGAAAUUCAGGAUCACGCCCAAGACAUGGGGCCAUAAAUACAUCCCAAUUCAUCCACAGCGACUCUGGCGAUUCCAGAACCAUAACAUUUUCCACACAGAGGAUUAGAGAUGAUGACGAUCUAAUAUAUUACUACCACUAUUUUGCUUCAUGGUUCCAGACGAACAAUCUCUUCAGAGUUCUGAUGAACAGACAAUUAGACGAAAGGAUCAUGGAGAUUAAACAGGGGAUGAUGAUGAAUAAGGAGGAGAAGGGGAACGGGCACUAAAUUAGCUGCUUGCUGAGCAUUGCCUAGUUAGAAGAACCGCCGCCGUUGCUACCUAGGUGCGGCUUCUCUGCCUCGAGCACAAGUCAAAAAAUGAAUCCAUCCUGCUUCUGCCUCUACUCCGAAUCGCUCUCCAUGCACAGCGCCUUCAGUCCCCUCGCCCUCUGCUGAUUGAAUUUGCGAGAUAUCAGUAACACAUCAACAAAGGUAGAUCGAACUAACAGCUCCAGUGUAUGCUACUUGCAACCAAAGGGAAAUGUGUCGAAGAUCUGGGGUACCUUCUUGGAGCUCUUCUUCUCUCUAACUUCAUACCUCUCGUGCGACAAAUCUGACAGCCAUGCUCCUGGGCACACCGUCUAUGGCCAUACACAACAACGGCAAACAAAACAUUAGGGUUAGGAAAUGAGCAUCAACACAUCUUUGAAAGAAAAGAACUUGACAGGUUAUUUUCUGAGAUGAAACAGAACAUUACAAGCAAGCACUUCUGCAUCAGCUUGGGCCUCUUCUUCGGCCUCUGAGGGAGCUUGCAGCCCUUCAUUGCCAAGAAGUCCUCCUCUUUCUCCUUGUUCGACAAGGAGAUGAAGAACCUCGGCAGAGCAGCGGUGCCCUUCUCUUCCACCCCACCGCUGAAAUCAAACCCAUUCCCCUCAAAGGGAAAUGGGGAACCCCUGGUGGAGUAGUACCGGUCCUUCUCUGGUGAGAGGGAUAUGGACUGCCUGGCCUCACUCGCCUGCGCCUCGGAUUUCCUGCUCGCAAGCAAAUACCAUGGUCAGACAUUUCUUGACAUUUUGCACGGCCAAGGGGAAAUGGGUCCUCGGAUGCAAUACUGAAAUUACCUCCGGUGAAGAGUGCUGGGGCGGCGUGGUGAACGAAACUGCGCCACGUCGCCUCCCAGAAGGGGGCGAUUCACCCGGGGUAUGGUGCGCCUGAGCGCAUCCGACCGGGCCGGCGACGGCGAGCCGUCUUCGCGGGAUUUGACACAGCGAAGCCGCUUCCGGCUGCCCCAUUGCAGGAACAGGUUUGGCUCGCCGGAGGGCUUCGACUCCUUGACCUCCUGGUCCAUCUAUAUCCUGAAAAACGGCGAAGCCGUCAGCAUGUAAAUAAACCCUAAUAAACUGCAGAUCGGGAUGAACUUUGUGAAACAGAGUUAGCAGCAGAGGAGAUAAGCAAGCUGUAGAUCCAACGACUUCGGAUAAACCGCUAAAUCUUCUGUUGCAAAGUACUAGCAAGUGCUUCAAGGAUUGUUGGGCAUACCCAUCAGAUCCAGCCCAACAGAUGCAUCAGAUCGGACAUGGCCUCGUGAAGAACAGAGAAGGGGCUCAGGGAAGGCAGAGAGAGAGGGGGACGGGGGGGAAGAGGUGGGCUUCUGGCGGUUCACCUUCUCGCUGCCUGCUGGAGACGGCGGUGGAGCUCAGGAGCCGGGCUCCUGGCGGCUGGGGUAGUAGAGGGUUGGUGAAGUUCGGCGGGGAAGCGGCGUGCAGGUUGGAGCUCCUGGCGGCGGUUGAGGUUGCAGAUAAGGUUCCCGGCGGCGAGGACGAGGAGGAAGUUCCCGACGCAGGCGGCGAGGAGGUUGGCGCAGGAGAUGGGGCGGCGCGGCGCUGGACGACGGACGGCGUGGUGGCGCUCGACGGUGUACGGCAGGCGGACGCAGGAAGAGGCGCGGCAGAUCUCGACGGUCGAUGAGGCGGUACGGCGAGAAGGGGCGUCGGCGGAGGUGAAGAGGGGCUCGGCGGAGGGCGGGGCGGCGGCAAAAAUGGAGGCGGGCGGUGGCGGCGGAGGCGAGAGAGGUGGGGCGCUGGGGUGGAUUUUUUGGGGAGAGGCGGCUGGGAAGUUGGGGGGAGAAUGGGGAGAGGGAAUGGGGGUCAGCGUGAAGAUGGAGGCGCUGAGGAGCGCGGGGUAGCCGGGCGGGGUGGGAAACCCCAAAGAUAUCAUCCACUCCUACUACUACCACGACUUUGGUGGGUUACACAAGUUGCGAGAUUUUUCAAAUAAAAAUCAUAAGGUUUGCCUGGGUUUUAAAUUUUGUCACCAAAUCCUUUUUUUCUUUUUUCAUAUUUCUUUUCAAUCUAUUCAUAAUCAAUCAAGAUAGUACAAUGAAUACCGAAAAUAAUAAAAUUACGUCCAGAUCCUAGACCACCUAGCGAUGACUAAAAGCACUGAAGCGAGCCGAAGGCGUCCCGCCAUCACCGCCCCUCCCUCCCUGGAGCCGGGGCAAAAUUUGUUGUACUAGAUAGUUGGAAGUCACCCCUCAAAAAAAAGAUAGUUGGGAAGUCGUCGUGUUAAGGCCAUAUAGGACCGGCGCACCAUAACAACCACUGCCGCCGUUGAAGAGAAGCUUAGAUCAGAGAGAUCCAACAUGUAGACAUACGAACGAAGACCGGAUCCACCGAAGAAAAACGCCGACCGAAUCCCACAAGAUUCAUCGGAAACAAAUCUCGACACGCCCUUCGAUGACGCUAGAAGCACCACCAGGAGGAGGGCUAGGCGGGAGAAGCUUAUUCCAUCUUGAGAGAGUCGUCAUCGCCUCAUCUCUCUGAGCAUGACACAAACCCGAAAACUCAAAAAGAGCAUCUAGAAACGAAGCCCACCCACCAGCAAGGGUUGAGAUCCACCACGCCUCCAUGACCCUAAGGCCACACGAAACGAGGCAAGCCGACACCAGUGCCGGUGGGAGGUAGGAGGAACCCUAGCGGCGGCUGGGUACCAGCACUCUUUCCUAGGCUGCAGUAAAAUUGAUUCCACCCCUACUUAUAUUCACAUAAUGAGAAACAUAAAAAAUUAGAGAGCUGAAUAGUGCAAAUUUUAAUUUUUGAUGUGCUUAGUACUUUUAGCUACCAGUCGGGGCUGACUUUGUCUUAAAAAAGAAAUUGACGGUUUUUUGGCAGGGAAGCACGAAUUUUAUUCCUUAAGCAUUUGGUUACAAUAUAAGCCCUAGAACUCUUUUAUCAGGUGAUUUUAUGAAAUCGAUAGGUGUAUCAGGAAUUGCACCCCCUUGUUCGCAUCCCUCAUGCACACAACAGCAGGGUUUUUCCUGCCCCUAGCCGGCGUUGCUGCCAACUUGCCUUGUUUCUGUGGUCUUACCGAUAGGAGAGCUUCGUUUUUAGAUUUAUUUUUUUGUGAGUUCUUUUAGGAUUUGCAUCUUUGGAAGACGAGGCGACGACGGUUCCCUGAAGAAGGAAUACGAUUCUUUUCCGCCUAGCCCCUGUCCCGACGGUGCGUCCAACAUCAUAAGAGAGUGUGUGAAAGUGUGUCUCCGGCAUAUCUUCCGGGAUUCGGGAGGUGUUUGUCUUGGGUGGAUCCCCUUUGAUAUAAUGUCUGUUCGUGUGUGUUUGUGUGUCUACAUGUUUAAUGUUUUCACUCUAAAAUUCUCGUCAUCAGUGAUGGUUGCUAUUGCGCGCUGGUCCAAUGGGGAUUUAGCACAACGACUUCCCAACUAUCUACUACAAUAAGGUUUGCUCAGCUCCUGUGAGGAAGGGAAGAUGACAGUCGCAUGCUUAGUUUGCUCUAAUGCUUGUAGUCGUCUACAUGGGUCUGCAGAUCUGGAUGAAUUUCGGUUACUCUUGUGUUCAUUUUACUGAUCUGAAAAUUGUUGAAUAGAUUGAAAGUUCUACCAAAAAAGGUAUAUCAGGCGAAAAUGCUUUUCUGAGCUCGAGCUCAUGUGUGCUUGAGUGGACAGUAAAAUAAUAAAAAGAGCAAAGAUUGAUAAAUGUUUGAUAAAUGUUUUUUAUUGCUUGUAAAGUUUCAUCAUGGAAUGACAUUCGUGAAAGAACAUGGCAAAAUAACAAAACCAAUGCUCCAAAUUGUUAAUAACACAUUUGGAGCAUCGAUUAUUUUGCCACGUUUUACGCGAAUAUCAUCCGAUGUUGAAUCUAUGCAAUCUGUAAAAGACUUGUCAAUGUUUUCUAUAAAAAAGACUCAUUUUUGUGUUUUAUCUUAUAAUUUUACUGUUCACUCGAGCUCACAUGAGUUCGAGCACAGUUUAACCGCGUCCGUAUAUCAGAUGCUUUUCUUCUUCUUCUUGCGAUCAAAUCCUCUCCAACGCAUGUGGGCUAGGAUUCGUUCGGCUAGAGUUGGAGCUGCUAGGUCGUUGUAGAGGGGACAACGACUUGGCCGGCCCAUUUGACGCCACCGACAGGAAAUUGUGUAGUGCUUUUUUUUUCCUGUCAGGCUUUUUACUCCCUCCGAUUCAAAUUUGUUUUCGGAGGGAGUAUAUUUUUUUUAUCUUUCAUUGCUUUAUAAUUCUUUUUAUUUUGGUCUCAUAAAAACAUGAAGAUUUUUUUCAAAAAUUAAUCAUUUUUUGAUAAUUUGAGAACAUUGUUUGAAAAAAGUGACCGUUUUUAAAACUUUUGCGGACAUAAUUUUGGAAACAUAAAACAAUUUUUGAAAAUUCUGAACAAUUUUUUAAAAAAAACAUUUUCUACAAAGAUGAACAUUACUUGAAAUGUUUUUGAUUUUUUUUAUAAAAAGACUAGUUUUGAGUUUUUAUGAGAUAUGAUUGAUUUUUACAUUUGUUGAACAUUUUUUCGAUUAUUUUCUAAAAAACUAAAUAACACGAACAUUAUUUUGAAAAAAGUAUCUUUUUUUAAUUUGUGAAUAUUUUUAAAUACUAUUUUGUGAACAGAAAAGAAAAACGAAACCGGCGAAAAAACCAACAGGAAAAUAAACAAAAUAACUGAACCGGAAUCUUCUAGAAGGCUUUGCUUAGGACAAAACCACCCAAUUGAGGGAGUGGUAGUACCAUACUGAGGCUCGCCAGCCCAAAUCCAUUUUGUCACAUCUCCGCUAUUUUUCAUGGCAUCUCUAGCGAAAAAGAAUAAAAUACAAGUAGGAUAUAACCACCGGUUUCAUAGAGUAGACCACAAUGACCACGCCAACGGUGAUGACCCCGAGAAACCCAUCGGAAGAAAAAAAAAUGAAACACAUUACAGACGCAAGCGCUCAUAUAUACGUGUAUAUGUAUAUAUUUAUUUCUAUGAAUGAACGCACGGACACCUUACACAUAUGAGCACCUUCAGAAAAAUAUGAGCACCGGGACUUUAAGCCUUGAUGGCCGGAGAUACCACUGUCCUCCUAACCAUUCAACCACUGGUUGAUUUGUAAAAAAAAGUUAAUUUUCUUUAACACAGUACAGACGCAAACACUCAUAAAUACGUGGAUACGCUCACCUUUAUGAAUGCACACACGCACACCCUACCCCUACGAGCACCUUCGAGAGACUGAACCGAUAUAUCAUUUUGAGUUUUACGAAGUCAUCGCAGACGCAUCGUUGUCGACAAGAACGUCUCUUCCCACUGAAAGUGCAUCGCAGAAAAUUCUGAAAUAAAUCCAGAAUAAUGCGAGCACGAGGACUUAAACCCUGAUGGGCUGAGAAUACCAGCGUCCGUUAAUCAUCCAACCACAUGAAGAAAGUUAAAUAAAAUUAUAUGUUGAUAGUGAUUCGGGUUCUGUCGAGAGGCCUCGUCAUUGAAGCCCACAAGGUAAUGACAAAACCCUGGUGGCAGCGGGAAAAUGGUCCUAGCCCAUUUUACAUUGUUGUGUCUUUCUUUUUUCUUUUUUCUUUUCUUUCCAUACCUUAUUUUCUUCUUAAUUUGAAUAGUAUAUUUUCUUCUUGUAUAUAUUCACCCUUCAAUUAUUUAUCUAUUUCAUUUAUUAUUUAUAAUCUACAUUUUAUCUUUUCUUAUCUUUUAACAUUUAUUGUUUUUAUUUUUGACUUUCAUUUUUUCAUAAAAUACAUGAUUUUCAAAAAGCUGCAUGUACAUGUAUUCUAACACGCACUGAAAUUAUUUUAAAAUGUAUGAAAUAUUUUUAUAAUACAUAAAUAUUUAUUUCUUAUACAUGAACAUUUAUUAAAUGUGAGAUGCACAUUUUUUCCUAUGUAUGCACAUUUAUAUUCACAUCCCACGGAAAAACUUUGCUUUGUAUUAGUUUUAUUACACAAUGGUUUUAAUGGUUGUGUGACAAUCGAAAUUAGGAACUACCAUUUUAUGAUAUUUAACACCAUUUUAUAUGAUUAAUUUUGCCAAGCGUAAUAUACAACAUACCAAUUUACAUCUUAUAUUCACUAUUGAAAAUUUCACUCUACGCCGAGUGUUUGGCACUUCGCUAAGUGCCAAUCCACGGUCACUCGACAAAGAUAUAUACGUUGAGUGUUGCUCUCGGCAAACCAUAGAACACGGCGAAGGAGAUGGCUUUGCCGGAACAUUGCCAAAAAAACACACAACAACUACCAAAGACUCGCCAAAGAGCAUAUAUGUAGAGAGAUUGAACGCACGGUGAUAAGUUGCCAUGUGUCAUGUCCAUUUGCGCUAGACGGCUCCGUGACGCCGGGGUGUCUUUGCAGAGCACUUACCCAUGGCUCUCGGCAUAUAUUAAAUAAAACCUUCAAAUAAUACAUGGCCCAUGGGACACACCUGUUAUUGACUCAUUUGUGAAUUAUUUUAUUUAAAUCAAUUAAAGCCAUAAAAUCGUUCACCGAGUAUUGCAGCUAUCCGCAAAGACAUCCUUUGCCGAGGUUCCGCAGAAUGGCUGAUACAUCACAAACGUAUCUAUAAUCUUUGAUUGUUUCAUACUACUAUAUUAUCAUUUAUAUAUACUUUUAUUGCAUUUAUAUCAUUUCAUAUUAUUUUUCUAGACUAAUAUAUUAAUUUAGUGUCCACUGCCAAUUUUUGUUUUCUACUUUUGGUUUAAUAGGAUAUCAAUAUCUAUGGAGGUCAAAAUAUGUUGUUGAUUUAACACGAAUUUUUGGGCAACAAGAAACACUAGAAGCUUCGGGAGACAUCGAGGGGGCCCAUGAGCCGCCAUAUGGACACAUGGCGCGGCCAGGGGGUGGUGGCGCCACCUGUCCAUGUGGGCCCCUAAGCACCGCCUUGACCCUAUUAUAGAGCAAUAAACUCCUAUAGAUACAUAAAUCAUCCGUCGAGCCUCCAAGAAAAUUUUAUCGCUGCCGCAAGCCUCUGUUUUGAAGAGAUCCCAUCUAAAGCCCUGUUUUGAAGUUCUGCCGGAGGGGGAAGCCUCUUCGUCAACCUUGCCGCCUCCAUGACGAUGUGUGAGUAGUUCCUUUAGGACCUACAUGUCCAUAGUAGAAGCUAGAUGACUUCUCUCUCUCUUGGAUCUUCAAUACCAUGUUCUCUUCCGAGAUCAAUCUGAUGUAAUUCUUAUGGUGUGUUUGUGUGGAAUCCGAUGAAUUGUGGAUAUAUGGUCAUAUUGUUCAUUGGAUAUUAUUGAAUCUUUUGAAGUUUCUCUCCUAUAUAAUUAAGUAGCUAUGUAUGAUUUUCGAGUUAUUUGUCUUCUCUGGCCAAGAUAGAUGGGUAAUUCUGCUAAAAUUUUAUCUAUUUAUGGGCCAGUCCAAUAACAAUUUCAGAAAAUUCCUAAUAAAUCCUAGAGGCCCACCUAGCCCAUUCGUGCAAGGCAAGGGGCACUACUAAAGUUUAGUCUCACAUUGCUAGUUUAGAGCGAGCUGGACCUCUUUAUAAGGGAGGUUCUUUCCCCACAUGUAUGAGCAUGAGAAUAAGAGGGACAUCCAUGCGCGCUUCUCCUCCGCCGCCCGCCUCGCCAUGCCUCAUCACGACACGCCGCGUCGCGGGUUGCGGGAAUGAGCCGAGCCGUUGUCUAAAUUUUUGCCACGCACGACGGGUAUACGAAAGGUCACGUGGGAGUUGAACAGUUUUCUAUAGUGGACACUGAAUCCGAACGGCACGCCUGUCAGAGAGACGCACCCGAACUUCUUCCUCCUCUCGCCACCGGUUCCAAUCUCUGAGCUGCUACUGUCUUCCUCAUCCCGCCUUGCGGCGUGCACCGCGAGUCGGGAAAGUAGGCCUCUGAAACCGCACCACUUUGAGUCCUGUACGGGAGAAGGGUGAUAAGGUUUUUGGGGAGCGCUCUGCGCGACUACUGACCGGUUCAUCACGGACACCGAUGACCACUUCCCCAACGACGAAUUCUUCCCCGACGUCGACAACCUUUUCGACGACAUGGCUGGCGAGGAUGUCGACCCCAAGUGCAGUGCUCAUGUUGCUGCUGUAGUCCUAUUAGUGUUCUUGCUCUUCCUGUUAUAGGUCCUGCCACAGUUCCUUGUUCUACCGUUUGCCCUACAUAUGUUUGGUUAUAGUUCAUAUAUGUAGAUGCUAUUUACCUUCUCUCCGUCAGAUCGCAUGAUUUGUUUUAUUUCUGCUAUAUUAGUCAUGCUUUAUCUAGUAUUUAUGUUAAUAAAAUCGUUUGGUAAAUUGCUCGUAUUUCCAACAAUCCAAAAACCUUAUUAUAGGCAAUUUACCCCGUGUGGUUUUGCUGCAUCCAUGAUGCCUCUUAUGUUUCAGGGUAUCCACUAUAAGAGGUGGCGCAUGAGAGCAGUCUUAUGGUUUCAGACCAUGAGCUGCUAUGACGCCACUCUAGGCAAACCUAAAGGAGUUCUUGAUCCUCAAGAGGAACAAGCUUUUCAGAAAAUGGAUACCCUGUUUGAGGCUGCUCUCUUGAGUGUUCUUGGUGAGAACAUAGUUGAUGCUUAUGCAUCAAUUGACAAUAGAAAAGAUAUGUGGGACGCACUCGAGGCCAAGUUUGGGGUCUCGAAUGCCGGCACUGAGCUGUACAUCAUAGAACAAUUCUAUGACUACAGGAUGACUGAAGAGCGCUCCGUGGUUGAGCAACCUCGUCAGAUACAGUCAUUUGCUAGAGAACUUGAGCACUUCAAUUGUAUGCUACCGGACAAGUUUGUUGCCGGAGGCAUCAUCACUAAGCUUCCUCCUUCGUGGAGGAACUUUGCUACCUUACUGAAGCAUAAGAGGCAGGAGUUUUCCAUUCCAGAUCUCAUUGGUACUCUUGACGUAGAAGAAAAAAAUGAGAGCAAAGGACACACGUGCUCGAGGUAUUGAGGGAGGAUCUAGUGCCAAUCUGGUACAGAAGAAAAACUCCCAGUCCUACAAGUUCAAGACAAGGGCAAGUUUGAUGGUAAAGCAAAGUUUGACGGGAAGAAUAAGGUUGUGCAACACACAAACUUCAAGAAGAAGAAUGACAAGAAGAAAGGUGUUUUUCAUGUGUGUGGAGAUCCUAAUCAUUGGGCUCCUAGUUGCCCUAAUCUCUAUGACAAGCGUCAUCUUGGGAAAGGCAGCAAGACCGCUAAUGUUGUCAUUGGAGACAGUAACAUGAAGGAUGCUGGACCGCAGGGACUUCCAUCAUGCUGAUGGGCAAUGGUUCAAGUGCUUCUGUUCAUGGUGUUGGCACGGUCAAUCUGAAGUUUACUUCGGGGAAGAUCGUGCGGCUGAAGAACGUGCAUUAUGUCCCCUCCGUCAAUAAAAAUCUUGUUAGUGGAUCUCUUCUGUGUAGAGAUGGCUACAAGCUUGUCUUUGAGCCGAAUAAAUUUGUAAUAUCCAAGUAUGGAACGUUUGUUGGUAAAGGCUAUGAGUCAGGAGGCCUAUUUCGUUUAUCCUUGUCAGAUGUUUGCAAUAAAGUUGUUAAUCAUGUUUCUACAAUAGUGAAUCAAAUGUGUGUCAUUCGUGUCUCUGUCUUGUUAAUUUUGGUUGCAUGUUGCGACUAUCCAAAUUAAACUUAAUCCCUAGUUUCACCACUGUCAAGGGAUCUAAGUGUCAAGCGUGUGUGCAAGCUAAGCAACCUCGUAAGUCUCAUGCGACUGCGGAAACAAGAAAUCUUGCACCACUAGAGCUCAUACAUUCAGAUCUUUGUGAAAUGAAUAGUGUGUUAACAAAAGGUGGAAAGAAGUAUUUUAUGACGUUAAUUGAUGACUCCACUAGAUACUAUCAGGUGUAUAUUCUGAAAUCUAAGGAUGAGGCUUUGAACUAUUUUAAGAUCUAUAAAGCUGAAGCGGAAAACCAACUUGAUCGAAAAAUCAAGAGGCUUAGGUCCAAUUGUGGUGGAGAGUAUUUAUCAAAUGAAUUUGAUUCCUUUUGUGCAGAACAUGGUAUAAUCCAUGAGAGUAUGCCUCCCUAUUCACCUCAGUCAAAUGGGGUGGCCGUAAGAAAGAACCGUACUCUAACUGAUUUGGUUAACGCCAUGUUAGACACAUCGGGUCUCUCCAAGGCAUGGUGGGGGGAGGCAAUAUUGAGAUCAUGUCAUGUCCUAAACCGAGUUCCCACAAAGAACAAAGAGAUAACUCCAUUCGAGGAAUGGGAGAAGAAAAGGCUAAAGCUCUCUUAUCUACAAACUUGGGGUUGUUUGGUGAAAGUCAAUGUGCCAAUUCCAAAGAAGCGCAAGCAUGGACCAAAGACUGUGGAUUGUGUUUUCCUGGGAUAUGCUUUUCAUAGCAUUGGUUAUAGAUUCUUGGUUGUAAAAUCGGAGGUACCUGACAUGCAUGUCGGUACGAUCAUGGAGUCGAAUGAUGCGACUUUAUUUGAAGAUAUCUUUCCCAUGAAGGAUAUGGCUACCUCAUCUAAUCAGGAGAUGCCUAGUUCAUCGAAUCAGGAACUAGUUACAUUUAUAGAACCUGCCAUUUUGAUGGAACACUUUGAAAAUCCUAUGGAGGAGAACAAUGAAGUUCCUACUAGGAGCAAGAGACAAAGGACUACAAAGUCCUUUGGUGAUGAUUUUCUUGUCUAUCUAAUAGAUGACACUCCCAGUUCUAUUUCAGAGGCCUAUGCAUCUGAAGAUGCUGACUACUGGAAGGAAGCGGUCCAUAGUGAGAUGGAUUCCAUCUUGGCAAAUGAAACUUGGGAGAUAACUGAUCGUCCUUAUGGGUGCAAACCUAUAGGGUGCAAAUGGGUAUUCAAGAAGAAACUUAGGCCUGAUGGUACUAUUGAGAAAUACAAGGCACGACUCGUGACCAAGGGUUGUACCUAAAAGAAAGGUGAAAGAUUUCUUUGAUACUUACUCACCAGUGGCUCGACAGACCACUAUUCGAGUUCUACUUUCACUAGCUGCCUCACAUGGUCUUCUCGUUCAUCAAAUGGAUGUUAAGGCUGCUUCCCUAAAUGGAGAGCUGGACAAGGAAAUUUAUAUAGAACAACCAGAUAGGUUCGUAGUAUAUGGUCAGGAAGGAACAGUGUGCAAGUUGCUGAAGUCUUUGUAUGGACUUAAGCAAGCACCCAAGCAGUGGCAUGAGAAGUUUGAAAGAACUUUAACAGCUGCAGACUUUGUUGUAAAUGAAGCUGACAAAUGUGUGUACUAUCGCCAUGCUGGGGGCGAGGGAGUUAUCUUUUGCCUGUAUGUUGAUGACAUACUGAUUUUCAGAACAAAUCUGAAUAUUAUUAAGGAGGUCAAGUAUUUCCUAUCUGGUUGUUUUGAGAUGAAGGAUUUUGGAGUGACUAAUGUCAUUCUGAACAUCAAGUUGUUGAGAGACGAUGAUGGUGGGAUUACAUUGCUUCAAUCUCACUAUGUGGAAAAGAUCCUGAGUCGCUUUGGCUAUAAUGACUGCAAGCCCACUCCAACACCAUAUGAUGUCAGUGUGUUACUUUGAAAGAAUCAAAGAAUUGCUAGAGAUCAAUUGAAAUAUUCUCAGAUUAUUGGCUCGCUUAUGUACUUAGCCAGUGCUACAAGACCUGGCAUCUCUUUUGCUGUGAGAAAACUGAGUCGGUUUGUCUCAAAACUAGGAGAUGUGCAUUGGAAAGCUCUAGAGAGAGUUUUGCGUUAUUUGAAAGGCACUGCGUUAUGGAAUUCACUACAUUGGGCACCCGAAGGUGCUUGAAGGGUAUAGUGACUCAAACUGGAUCUCAGAUGCCGAUGAGAUAAAGGCCACGAGCAGAUAUAUAUUCACUCAUGGAGGUGGCGUUGUUUCUUGGAAGUCUUGCAAGCAGACCAUCUUAACGAGGUCAACAAUGGAAGCAGAGCUCAUAGCACUAGAUAUAGCUAUGGUCGAAGCAGAUUGGCUUCAUCGUCUCUUGAAUGACUUGCCGGUUGUUAAGAAACCUAUACCGGGUAUCCUUAUGAAAUGCGGCAAUCAAACUGUGAUCACGAAAGUGAGCAGCUCAAAGGAUAACAUGAAGUCAUCAAGACACGUUCAGAGAAGGUUAAAAGCCUGUCAGAAAAAUGAGAAACUUCGAAGUUAUUGCAUUGGAUUAUAUCCAAACAUCUAAAAAUCUGGCAGAUCCUUUUACUAAGGGUCUAUCAUGUAAUGUGAUAGAUAAUGCAUUGAGUGAGAUGGGUAUGAGACCCACAAUAUGAGUUGUUCACAGUGGUGACCUAGUCUAUGUGAUCGGAGAUCCCGUGAAUUAGAUGUGGAAGAUAAGUUGUUAGUUAACUGAGAGGAGAGUAUCCUUACUGUUAACAAUACCACUCCAUGAAGAUGCAAUACUCUCCUAAAUAUGCAUGGCAGGUUGAUGUAUAUCUUAAUGCGUUCUAAAUGGCUCAUUUAAGCAGAGAUGUUGUCUUGCAGAACAUCUUUUGAAGAACACACCUAUAUGAGUCUGAUUGUCAAACAUCGCAAUCUAUGAGAGUAGGGUUCUCUCUAGUAAACUCAUGAAAGGUCACGGAGUAUGAUGCAUAAGAUCCAUCCACGGGAAGACCCACGGUAGCCUAGUAUCGGUCAAGGCUUUAUGUGAAGCUAGAUUCGUAAAAAACUUGCAGUUCAAGGCCCAGUCCACUGUUCAAGUUGCUUACUAGUGUAGCAUAGAGUUCUAGGUGGAAGUUUAACUUAACAGUCUCCACUGCAAUACUGAUAUAUAAAACCGUGUUUUGGAACCAAAGGCAAAUUGUGUGUGCCUCUCGAAUCUGGUGGGGGAUUGCUGUAAUUUUAUCUAUUUAUGGGCCAGCCCAAUAAAAAUUACAGAAAUUCCUAAUAAAUCCUAGAGGCCCACUUAGUCCAUUCGUGCAAGUCAAGGGGCACUACUAAAGUUUAGUCCCACAUUGCUAGUUUAGAGGGAGUUGGACCUCUUUAUAAGGGAGGUUCUUUCCCCACAUCUAUGAGCAUGAGAACAAGAGGGACAUCCUCCUCCGCCGCCCACCUCGCCACGCCACGCCACGCCUCGUCGCGCCGUGGGUUGCGGGAAUGAGCCAAGCCGUUGUCUUGCCACGCACGACGGGUAUACGAAAGGUCACAUGGGAGCUGAAACGUUCUCUGUACUGGACACUAAAUCCAAAUGGCUCUCCUCUUUGGCUGAAGUCUGUUUGCUUCGUCUUCCUCUUUUGCUUCACCUCCCGUCGCUGGCCUCUCGCCUCCUUCUCUUGUGCCUAUAAAAGUGAGGUCGCUCCUCUCAGAGAGAUGCACCAGAACUUCUUCCUCCUCUCGCCACCGGUUUCAAUCUCUGAGCUGCUAUUGUCUUCCUCAUCCCGGCUUGCGGCGUGCACCGUGAGUCGGGACAGUAGGCCUCCGAAACCGCACCACUUUGAGUCCUGUACGGGAGAAGGGUGAUAAGGUUUUUGGGGAGCGCUCUGCAUGAUUACUGACCGGUUCAUCACGGACACCGACGACCACUUCCCCAAUGAUGACUUCUUCCCCGACAUCGACAACCUCUUCGACGACAUGGCUGGCGAGGAUGUCGACCCCAAGUUCAGUGCUCCUGUUGCUGCUGCAGUCCUGUACGUGUUCUUGCUCUUCCUAUUAGAGGUCCUGCCACAAUUCCUUGUUCUACUGUUUACCCUAGAUAUGCUUGGUUACAUUUCAUAUAUGCAGAUGCUAUUUACCUUCUCUCCGUCAGAUCACAUGACUUGUUUUAUUUCUGCUAUAUUAGUAAUGCUUUAUCUAGUAGUUCUGUUAAUAAAAUCAUUUGGUAAAUUGCUCAUAUUUCCAACAAAUUCUUUAGAGGAGUGGUGCAUAAUAGUGGAUUCAAUCUUGCGGUCUUCUAUAUCUCUGUGACAGAAUGGAGACAACACACGCAUUUAUUGCUACUAAGGAUAAAACAUGAGGUUUAAUCUUAUUGCUAGAUUUCUUUCUAUCUACAUUAUGCCAUCUUGCCUAUUGCGUUACUCUGUUUUUCAUUAAACUUAAUACCUUGAGAUGUGUGCUGGAUAGCGGUUUCGGAGUUGAUUAAUAGAAGUAAAUGAUGUUGGAUUACGGUCUACUUAUCACAAACGCCAUGAAUGAUCAUGGUUACAAAUGAUGUUUUUCUGUAAAUUGCGCAAUAGUAAUUUGUCUACCAUGCCAUUAUUUGCUUUUAAGAGAGAUGCCACUAGUGAACCUAUGGCCCCGGGUCCAUUCUCCAUCAAUACUUGCUUCUGCAAAAGUGCCUCUUUUAUUUGCCUUUAUUAUUUUUCCGUUUCACAAUACGAUUAUCUAUCCGUCUAUUUGCUUUUAAUCUUGUAACUUGCAAGACGAGGGGCUUGACAACCCCCUUCCCAAGUUGGGUGCAAGUAUUUAUUUGUUUGCGUGCAGGUGCUGGUUAUCUUGUUAGCUUGUUGAGUCCUACUGGCUGGAUUAAACCUUGGUUCUUAACUGAGAGAAGUAAUUUUGCUUCUGAUGCUACAUCACCCUUCCUCUUCGAAGAAUCCAACAAAUCCUACGGGAGUAGCAAUGACUGGCCGAAGUUGAGGAAGAAGACCACGUGCAAGCUCAAAUAUGCGCCAGAAUUAAAGCACAUGCGAGGAGGGGAUCAAGGUAGAAUUCAGAGACAUGAUGAUAGGUGGAGGGACUCACUGUAGACAGAGAGGUGUCAUGACAACACAAGCCAACCCGUUGUCGAGCAAUUGGCUAUGUGCGGAAUCUGCAGUUUGGCCCUAACUCUUAGCUCGCUAUGCUUUCUCACUCGCUUCCUGAAGUUAGCCGCCCUCAACUCAAGUUUGUGGCCUCACCCCUGGCCCCCUCCCUCACCAUUUCUAUCACUAGCACUUUAGAGCCACCUAUGAGCCCUUCCUCGCGCCCACUCAACCCCCCCUCGCUCUCACUCACGCGCCAAGGUACCCAACUCCCAUGAGUUCUUCUUCUUCUUCUUCUUCUUCUUCUUCUUCUUCUUCUUCUUCUUCUUCUUCUUUAGGGCAUUUCUAACCGGUCCCCUAUAAUUGGUUAGUGGAGUAAAAUUUCCGGCACCUAGUCGAUCCCCUAUCCAUAGUUAGUGGAGUAUAUUUUUACUCGGGCCCUAAAAAUUUCCCUAUUUUUACUCCACCAAUAGGCGGACGAGUAAAAUGCUACGACUCUCUCUUGCGCCUUCGCCGCCGCUGCAUCUUUGCCGGCGCGCCUCCCGCCGGUCCCCAGCCGGCCCCGUCGCUACCUCGUUCCAUUCCUUUCCCUCCGCCGCCGUUCUUCCCAUUGGCUAGCCCGUUCGGCCCUCUCUGCCAUCGCCAGAAUCAAGGUGAAACGCCGCUCCCAUCGCCAUUAUUGAUUCGUCCGUUUUCUUUCGAGUUUCUUCUUUUAAUAGCGGGCACCGCAUCUCACCUUGCUUGCGCACCACUGCUGGUCACACACGCUCGCCUGUUCGGUCUAAACCACGCCGGCCGGCUUUAGCACCACCACUGCACCCCAAGUGUCUGAAGAAUUGCCGAGGUGAGUUUUUUUGUUUGUUUCUCUUUGAACGAAGCCGUUGGGAUUGAACCGAACCGUUUGGAUCAUAGAUGAAGAGGUUGAGGAAAAUGGCGUUGGAGGACUCAUCGUCAUCCAAAGAGGAGGAAGAACACGACGAUGACUUUGACACCGUUUUAGGCAUGAUUUUCAACAAUGAUGUUCGACGGCCAAGGAGAGGAUCACAAUUUUGCCGCAUACACAUCAACCGUGAUAGAGCGGAGGGCCUUGCCAAGAUCAUGAGAGAAUACUUGGACCCAAACCCAACCUAUCUGGAGAAGUACUUUUGUCGACGCUUUCGAAUGCACACAAGUCUUUUUCCGACCAUUGCAAAAGCCGUUGAGAGAUAUGAUGACUGGUUCAAGCUCCGGAGAAAUGCAUUUGGAGAGAUCAGUGCAAGCCCUCUGAUGAAAUGCAUUGCGGCUAUUCGAGUCUUGGCAUAUGGGUGUUCUGUCGAUGCAAUUGAUGACUAGGUAUGCAUUGGCGAAGACGUAAUCUUGGAGGCUGUUCGAAGGUUCACCAAAGCAGUGAUCACCGUCUUUGGCCCAAAGUACUUGAGAGCACCACCCGAGGAAGACACCAGAGGCUGAUGACUGAGAGUGAAGCAAGAGGAUGGCCAGGGAUGCUUGGAUCACUUGACUGUAUGCACUGGAGAUGAAAAAAUUGUCCCGCGGGUUGGAAGGGUCAGUACAAAGGCCAUGUCAGCAAUCCAACGAUCAUUCUUGAGGCAGUUGCAUCGACGGAUCUUUGGAUAUGGCAUUCAUUCUUUUGUCUGCCUGGCUCUCACAGUGACUUGAAUGUGCUAUCGAGAUCCCGUCUGUUUUCCAGGCUUAUAAAAGGUGAAGCUCCCGCUUGUGAGUACUCGGCCAACGGGCACAACUACUCGAUGGGUUACUACCUUGCGGAUGACAUCUAUCCAUCAUGAGCCACCUUGGUCAAAACAAUUCCGCGUCCAAAAGGUAACAAAAACACUCACUUUGCCCACUGUCAAGAAGUUGCAAGGAAAGAUGUGGAAAGAGCCUUCGGUGUGCUUUAGAAGCGCUUCACAAUUGUUCGUGGCCCUGCCGAGUACUGGAACUACAAGGUUCUAUGGAGAAUCAUGAUUUGUUGUAUCAUAUUGCAUAACCUGAUCAUUGAAGACGAGAGAGAUAUGCUCACCAACGGGACUCGGUUUGAGCUAGGGUAUAAUACAAACAUGAUCUUGACAUUUCUUGAGGGGCAUCGCAAGAUCGAGAAGUUCAUACUGAGCUCCAACAAGAUCUUGUUGAGCAUCAUUGACAAUGUCUAAGCGAGUCCUAGUUGUUCUAUGAAAUGCUAUUUGCUACAUUUGAACCAUUCGUCGCGUUUAAGUCCGGUUGUAAACUUUGAAUUCGGUUUGUAAACUAUAUUCGUAAUUUGGUUGAACAUUCAAAUUUAUGUUUAGUUUAUAUAUGUGUGCUAAUAUGUAGUUGCAAUUUGUACUAGAAUUGCAAAGUUUGAAAAAACAAAAAAUUAUUUCGUUAUAUUUAGGGGAUUAGCUAGGUCCGGCCAAAACUAUAUGCUCCACUAAGCCUUUUACUCCACUAAAUUUUAGGGGACCGGUUAGAAAUGACAUUAAUAAACAUGAGGGAGCAAACAUAUAAUUUUCACUUUCUCAACGGAAAUCGAUGAGAUGCCCGGUUGUUCGAGAAAAAAGCUCGAGACACCGAGAAGUGGCACAAACGGCGUAUAUUUCUGGCUUCGCCUGACGCGCCAUUGAUCAUAAACGGAACGAACGUGGCCGGGACCGAGAGACGAUGAACCGUGGAGAGUGAUCCGAAUAUCGUCGCGUGGCCGCUGCACGCCAUACCAUCCGGGCCCGGCCGUGCGCAUACCUGCACAUGUGUGUGGUGGCGGUGCGGAGACACCGGCCGUAUCAAAAUCGGCACUCCCCAUUGGCCGGCCUCAUAUCGCCAUAUCACCUUAUCCACUCCCCCACCCCCUCCACCCCAAGCCCCCGUACCUCUUAGCUCAGCCAUCUCUCCUACUCAUCACCCACCAGACACAACCCCAUCUCCCGCGCGCGCGUGUGGCCUCGGCUCCUCCCCCCAUCUCCUCUCUCGCCAAGAACCACCGAGCUUGGAGCGCCACCGCCAUGGCCAUGGCCACGCAAGCCUCGGCGGCGACGCGCCACCUGAUCACCGCGGCCUGGUCGCCCUCCGCCAAGCCCCGCCCCGCCACCCUCGCCAUGCCAUCCUCCGCCCGCGGCCCGGCCCCGCUCUGCGCCGCGGCCUCGGACACCCCCGCCCCAGCGGCGCCGCCGGCGGAGCCCGCCCCCGCGGGCUUCGUGCCGCCGCAGCUGGACCCGUCCACCCCGUCCCCGAUCUUCGGCGGCAGCACGGGCGGCCUCCUCCGCAAGGCCCAGGUCGAGGAGUUCUACGUCAUCACCUGGACCUCCCCCAAGGAGCAGGUCUUCGAGAUGCCCACUGGCGGCGCCGCCAUCAUGCGCGAGGGGCCCAACCUCCUCAAGCUCGCCCGCAAGGAGCAGUGCCUCGCCCUCGGCAACCGCCUCCGCUCCAAGUACAAGAUCGCCUACCAGUUCUACCGCGUCUUCCCCAACGGCGAGGUGCAGUACCUCCACCCCAAGGACGGCGUCUACCCGGAGAAGGUCAACGCCGGCAGGCAGGGCGUGGGGCAGAACUUCCGCAGCAUCGGCAAGAACGUCAGCCCCAUCGAGGUCAAGUUCACCGGCAAGAACUCCUUCGACAUCUAAUCUCGUACGUCGUAUAUGCGUACGUGCUAGUUCAUCGACCGGUAGUUAUUGGCGGGUGGCGAUGAUGAUGGACGUCCUGUAAUUUUAAUUGUCGAGUUUGAAUGAUGGAUUCGAUCGGUGAUAAUGAUGCAUCAGGUUAUAUGUACAUGGUAAUUUGAUGAUGAUACUGCUGUAUGUUAACGUUGUUCAUAUGCAUGAUCGGCUUCUUUUUAUGUUGAUGAUGAGUAGUAAUUUGUUACACGCG
rnacentral:lncRNA from 1 species